rnacentral:rRNA from 1 species
CCUACGGGAGGCAGCAGUGAGGAAUAUUGGUCAAUGGCCGAGAGGCUGAACCAGCCAAGUCGCGUGAGGGAAGACGGCCCUACGGGUUGUAAACUUCUUUUGUCGGGGAACAAAGGCGGAGACGCGUCUCCGGAUGAGUGUACCCGAAGAAAAAGCAUCGGCUAACUCCGUGCCAGCAGCCGCGGUAAUACGGAGGAUGCGAGCGUUAUCCGGAUUUAUUGGGUUUAAAGGGUGCGCAGGCGGGAGAUCAAGUCAGCGGUAAAAUGUCGGGGCUCAACCCCGGCCGGCCGUUGAAACUGGUUUUCUAGAGUUGGAGAGAAGUAUGCGGAAUUCGUGGUGUAGCGGUGAAAUGCAUAGAUAUCACGAAGAACUCCGAUUGCGAAGGCAGCAUACCGGCUCCAUACUGACGCUGAGGCACGAAAGCGUGGGGAUCGAACAGGAUUAGAUACCCGGGUAGUC